CAGUAGCCGCGGGAAAACGUAGGUGGCAAGCGUUGUCCGGAAUUAUUGGGCGUAAAGCGCGCGCAGGCGGAUCAGUCAGUCUGUCUUAAAAGUUCGGGGCUUAACCCCGUGGGGGGAUGAAAACUGCUGAUCUAGAGUAUCGGAGAGGAAAGUGGAAUUCCUAGUGUAGCGGUGAAAUGCGUAGAUAUAUGGAGGAACACCGGUGGCGAAAGCGGCUCUCUGGUCUGUAACUGACGCUGAGGCUCGAAAGCGUGGGGAGCAAACAGGAUUAGAUACCGCGUAGUCCCUGUCUCUUAUACAC
rnacentral:rRNA from 1 species